UAAAGUACAGAGGCCUGUAUCUCAGCGGCGCAUUGGUCAAGCUGGGUGAUUGACACGUCUAUAGAACCGUCAGAGCCAGUAGAAUCGACGGACAGCACCAUUCGCUAUCUGUGAGGGGAUGAGCCCCCCUGUGACGCCUUUUUUCCCCGACGCCAUUUUGACAUGCGACUUCCGCAUGUGUAGGCGAAGUAGGACGGACCAGGCGGAUAAAUAUCUUGAAAUGAGGAGCGGUCUUUGUGCUAGCCAACGGAAUUGGAUUUAUGGAUCAAAACACAACUUCUCCUGCAAAUACUUCGACGGCGAACCAACAUCAAGCUCCAAACAAUACAGCAAUCUUGCUUUUCACUACGCAGGCGUCUGAAGACAAAGUCCCGCGGUGAAUCACAGGCUUUUUUUAACAGUCUUUUUCCACCUGAUGUUUCUCCAAACUCAUGGAUGGAUUUGGAAUUUGACUGAUAUGGGUGGUCUGCCAGUUGUACACGCGGGACAAGCGAUGAUACCAAGAAGCGCCAACUGUCGGCGGGCCGUGAUGACCGGACAUCAAAGGGCGUCAGGCUAUCCCGCGGAAAGUGACCCGCGGUCCAGUCUGGCUCAGUCUGUCACCCCCAGCAGCCCCCCGACCCCGACGGAGAUCACAGCCGCUCUGUCAGAGAUCUGCCCCGCGUCGUUCCCCGGAGGACCAGCGCUCGGACACUCGCAUUCCCAGCAUCGCAGAUUCCCAGUCAAGGUCACAUUGUGGCACCUGCUGGACAGGACCCGGGGGGGUUACACUCACUCACUGAAGUGUGAACCCAUAACCCAAUGACCCUGUGACCUUUGUAGCAUUGAUCUGGCCCCGUCCUUCAACAGCUGCAGGGGACCAAACAUGUCUAGUCCAAAGGUCUAAAAGUUACAAACACAAAGGAAUAAGUCAAUGUUAAAUAAAUAAAACUACUUAAAUGACAGGUUCUAUCUUAAAUAUAAUAUUUAAAU